CGGCGGAUGGGUGAGUAUCACGUGGGCAACCUGCCUGUAAGAUUGGGAUAACUCGCGGAAACGUGAGCUAAUACCGAAUGAAGUCUUUCACCGCCUGGUGAAAGGAUGAAAGAUGGCUCUUGAGCUAUCACUUACAGAUGGGCCCGCGGCGCAUUAGCUAGUUGGUGGGGUAAAGGCCUACCAAGGCGACGAUGCGUAGCCGACCUGAGAGGGUGAUCGGCCACACUGGGACUGAGACACGGCCCAGACUCCUACGGGAGGCAGCAGUAGGGAAUCUUCCGCAAUGGACGAAAGUCUGACGGAGCAACGCCGCGUGAGUGAUGAAGGUCUUCGGAUCGUAAAACUCUGUUGUCAGGGAAGAACAAGUUGUGUUCUAACAGGACAUGACCUUGACGGUACCUGACCAGAAAGCCCCGGCUAACUACGUGCCAGCAGCCGCGGUAAUACGUAGGGGGCAAGCGUUGUCCGGAAUUAUUGGGCGUAAA
rnacentral:rRNA from 1 species